GAUGAACGCUGGCGGCGUGCUUAAUACAUGCAAGUCGAGCGGAAAGGUCUCUUCGGAGAUACUCGAGCGGCGGACGGGUGAGUAACGCGUAAGAAUGUACCCCAAAGUGAGGAAUAAGCACCAGAAAUGGUGUCUAAUGCCUCAUGUGCCCUUCGGAGUAACGCUUUAUGCGCUUUGGGAACAGCUUGCGUCUGAUCAGCUAGUUGGUAAGGUAACGGCUUACCAAGGCGACGAUCAGUAGCUGGGCUGAGAGGAUGACCAGCCACACUGGGACUGAGACACGGCCCAGACUCCUACGGGAGGCAGCAGUAGGGAAUUUUCCACAAUGGGCGAGAGCCUGAUGGAGCAACGCCGCGUGAUGGAUGAAGGCCUUCGGGUUGUAAACAUCUUUUGUCUGUGACGAAUAUGACGGUAGCAGACGAAUAAGGAUCGGCUAACUACGUGCCAGCCGCCGCCGUAA
rnacentral:rRNA from 1 species